rnacentral:lncRNA from 1 species
CUUGUUACAGCACUCCCCAUGAAUGCUCACUGCAGUCGUAAGCCAAAUCGUAAGCCAAUACUGUCACCCUCGCUGUCUCCAGACAGGGAAACGGUGUGGAAGGCCUGUUCCAGUAAGAGAGUCACUUUUGUUCUGUGUGGCCACAGCUGAUUGGAGGGGAAGAGAAGGGGCACCAGACUCAAUAACAACAACCUAUCAAACUUUGGUUAGGCUGGAGCAGAUUUCCCUCUGGGAAAUGUGGAAUUAAGAAACCAUGGACCAAAGCAGCGAGCUACUUAAAGAGGAACCUUGUGACGUAGAAAGGGGCCAAUGACUGGUGGGGUUGGGGAAGUUGGGGGAACGAAUAAGAGGGUGGCAACCAAAAUAAACUAGGGCAAAUCAAGGCUGUCAAGGAGAGCUUGAAAAAACGUAGGAAAACAGUUGGCAAAGAAAGGACAGAAGGCAGAUAGGCAGACAGAUGUAGCAACUCAGAGACAGACAGACAGGCAACUAGUCCUGCCUAAGUCCCUGAAGAUUUCAAGCCCUGGCCACACGUAUCCUGUCAUAAGCCUCCCUUUUUAUCACAAUAUUUCUAAUAUCCUGAAUGGGGCUCUGUCCUGUCCGUGUUCACAUAAACAUGAGUAGCUCAGAAAGAGAGGAGAGAUCGCUACGCUGGGG